CAGUAGCCGCGGUAAUACGUAGGUGGCAAGCGUUAUCCGGAAUUAUUGGGCGUAAAGGCUCGCAGGCGGUUUCUUAAGUCUGAUGUGAAAGCCCCCGGCCCAACCGGGGAGGGUCAUUGGAAACUGGGAAACUUGAGUGCAGAAGAGGAGAGUGGAAUUCCACGUGUAGCGGUGAAAUGCGUAGAGAUGUGGAGGAACACCAGUGGCGAAGGCGACUCUCUGGUCUGUAACUGACGCUGAGGAGCGAAAGCGUGGGGAGCGAACAGGAUUAGAUACCCGUGUAGUCCCUGUCUCUUAUACA
rnacentral:rRNA from 1 species